UACGAAGGGGGCUAGCGUUGUUCGGAAUUACUGGGCGUAAAGCGCACGUAGGCGGAUCAGUCAGUUAGGGGUGAAAUCCCGGGGCUCAACCCCGGAACUGCCUUUAAUACUGCUGAUCUAGAGUUCGAGAGAGGUGAGUGGAAUUCCGAGUGUAGAGGUGAAAUUCGUAGAUAUUCGGAGGAACACCAGUGGCGAAGGCGGCUCACUGGCUCGAUACUGACGCUGAGGUGCGAAAGCGUGGGGAGCAAACAGG
rnacentral:rRNA from 1 species